ensembl:lncRNA
GCUCGGUCUGUGGUGGGACUGCGCAGCUCCCCGGGCGGUGGGCUCGGCCCCGAGCCGCUGGAGCUCGGGGGACACCGCUCGUACACGGGUGUGGGUUUGGGCGCUGCUGUGUGGCGGCGGGGUUUGGGCUCGGCGGGCCUUCCGUCUGGGCCGCCCUGUGGUUCUGAGUUCAAAUACUUAGGAAGGAUGGGAUAGAGCAAGCCAUUUUCACUUGACAACUAAUUCUUCAGUGCACUGUGCACUCUAAGGUAACUUUGCUUCUCCUUUUCCCCUUGUAAGCAGAUCCCUUUAGGAAAGGGAACCUUUCAUUUUCAAAUAAUUCUGUCAUUACUGCUUACAGCUUUUGGUUGAACUAUUUCUGUGGAAGUCUCAGUGCUUAUAACUAGACCUGUUCCUCACUUGGUGUAAGUGCUGUAAGAGUGGUCUUCCGCUGCAAGGGCAUGCUGUGCAAAGCAGACCUCGGCAGCUGGCACCUUUAGCUGUCGUUUAAAAAUGGGAUAACUGCAAAAUCCAUCAGAGAUAUGGCACUGGUUGAAGCAGAAACCCAGGAGACCAGCAGAGUCAACAGUCUAGUAAGGGAAGAGGCAAGACAAGCACGUCUGUACUGUGAAAGUAACCCCCUCUGCCCUGCAAGCACCGUGCAGCAUAUACUGUAGGGGUGGAAGACAAGAGCGGGGGAUGGUCUGGAAACUCACACGUCUCCUGAAAGUAGAAGUGAAAGUACAGAGGUGUUGGAGAGGAGAAAACUCCUGGCUCCGUGCUUACCUCCUGAGAGAGCUUCCUCUCUUUCCACAGGACCAGCAAGCCUUGUGGCCAGCAGUCCAGACUGCCAGCAUCAACCCUGCUGCCUGCAAUUGCAGCUGGGGCAGGAUGUGAGUGCCAAGGACAAGCUGCUGUGAGCGUGUUGUGGUGCAGCAUUAUUUGUGGGUGGAGGGGAGGAGGGGGUAACCAGUGUGUGCUGCUAGGGAGCACCAGUCUAGCUUUAGAGUUUAAACAGGCCUGAUUUAUCAUUCUUAUUAGUGUUGUCACCACACGAUUUCUAAUUCUCUCAUAUAUUUCUGCGUACGUACUCUUAAUGGGAACUGUUCUCUUCUGUCAUACCCACAAAGGCUGGCUGACUCUGGGCGGUACCAGCUGGCUGUGUUCACAGGUAGCUGCCUUGGCAGCUCAAGUUAACAUGCCUCUGAUGCUGACCACAGGGGAUCCUUCUCUUAGGGCCUGCUAGCAGCCCCUGAGGCGCCAAGGCAUGGUGCUGAGCAUGCUUUCCCAGUGGACACCCAAGGGACCCAGAGCUUUCGCUUUCCAUUUCUGUAAGCCUUUAGGUAGGGACUUUCCUAAUACUUGCACUGUAUUUUCAACAUUACUGGCACGUAAUUAAGGCCUGCAUUUUGAGCCUGGUAACAUUAACGCAGACAUGUAUGUGUUGGCUGGAAAAGUGACUCUUGAAGGGCAAAAUGAUCCAGUUCUCUCAUCCCCUAGGCUUUGGGCCAGUAAUGAAGAAAAAAUGAACAACCUGCAAGAAGGAAGGUUUUCUUUCCUAGCUGUGUGCAGGCAGACCCUAAAAACAGAAGCAGAACUGUGGACCUGAUACGUGCAGCAGGUGAGGUCGUCAGGAGACAGAAUGACUCUUACUGAGCCCGUCUUGAAGACAGUCACUGCUGUAGAAGAGCACUGAAGCACAGUAGUUUGCGUAGCGCUGGAUUUCCAACUUUGCCUUCGUAUGGCAUAGAAAAAGUAAGGUCACUUGAUUGCCUUUGUUUCUUCUGUUUCUUCUCCUUGAAGAAACAGCCCUCCUCAGAGCCUGUAGGUCACACUGUCCAAACUGCCUCCAUCCUGGGAGGGGAAGGGCCGUAGGUCCAUGGUACAGAUGUGUACAGGCUUAUGUUGCUGCUGCAGAGCAGUGUGGGUUGCCUGCGCUAAAUGCAAUGGGAUUUACAUGUGAUGCUCAGGCAGUGGCAGUUUCACACGUGCUCCCCCUCGCACCUAAGCAAAGUGAGUCCUGCCUCGUGAACGAUGAACUGCCUUGCAUCUGGACUCAGUCCAAGCCUUUCACAUCCUCUGAGAACCUCCCAUGUGGUAUAUGCAACAGGUGGAAGGCCCUCAGCACGGAGAUUCAGGCUCCAGCACUCAACGGCCAGCUGGAAGAAGAGGGCUGGCAGCCCGUUUCCAUCUGGUUGCUGAUGCUGUGAGCCCUCUGUGUUCCUGCGGGGAGGACAUCCCCUUUUCCUCCUCUCCCAGAGCCCACAGCUCGCAGCAUUCCAAGAUUCUAAAGGCAGGUGGAACCAUUCAGAGGUGCUUACAGAAGAGAGUCUGCAACAUCUCCAACUGCUUGGAGGCACUUCAGGUCCCCGAGUCUUCCAGACUGCAGAGGUCCAGUUGUUAUUACACCACAAGCUUUAAGCAUUUUGAACGUGAAAGAGAAAAAAGAAGGGGAGAUUUCCCACGUGUGUAAACUGGCAUUAUACAGUCCAAAUGCCAGUAGGUGGCACCCAAGAAUGUGCAGCUCUGUUGGUUGGCUUUGUGCAAGCCUCGCUGCUUGUUGGCAGCUGCACCUCGGUGCUGUCGGCCUCUGCUCUCCCCGUGGCCACGAGGAAACCUGCAGGAUUCUUCCUCUUUUUAAUGUUUGAUUUCAAGUGCUGUAGGAAACAGUGUGGAGAAAUCCAGAACUACACUCAGCAGUGCUACUUGUUAUUAAGGCGUCCGUGCGAGGAUGCUGCUUUCUGAUGCCUGUAGGUUCACUUCACGUCAGUCCUGCGUGGUGAGACGGCCCCGAGAGCUGCUGCUUCCUGUGGGGCUCUGUUCAGAAUGUGCAGCUAGACAGAGCUGGCCUGAGAGCAUUUCUGGAGUGUAACACGAGUCUUGGCCACGUUACUGGUCUUCUUUGCAAUGUUUCUUCCAGUCCAGAGAAAUGCAAGAGAGCAGCUGAAGAGUGCAGGCCUGCAAGGAAGUCAAACUGAGUGAGCAUAGGCGAUCACAUCCCACUUCUUAAGGCCUCGGUUUUGCAGUCCCACUGAAAUGCUAUUUGUACCUGGGCUCGUGCAAGGAGAUGGGCUGUGUUUGUGACUGGUUUCCUGUGCUGAGUGAUGCUGUCACUGACUCGUGCAAGCAGCGCCCUGACAGCCAUGCUGCCUUCCUCCAGCAGCUGCGAGCAAGGAUUGCUUCUGUGCGGUGGCCCAGUUUUCUCGCAACGUAACUGCAGCGGCGUUCCACCUAUCUCCCAGUUCAGGCAAAUAAGAAUCCUCAGCGUUUUCAGGUGAAAGAAGUCCCUUCUCCUGUAAAGAGCCAGCGCCCUUGGGGUAAGGACAGACGGACCAAGCCAGCAAGGAAGUGAUGCCCGUUGGCUCCGCUUGACCUUGAGCAGCCAUCCACUGGAAAACAGCAUUUCUGCUGCCCCCUGCUGCAGGGGUCCUGUGUCCAGGGGAAGGGUUACCCUUCAGACACUGCAGGUCAGCCGGAGCAAGCCGUUCGAAGGAAUACGAUGGGGUGAAGAGGGUGCACGUCUGCAGUGUAAAACCGUCUUGAGUCCACCUGCAGCUUCUGAAACGGGUAGAUGUGAAUUCCCUCUUCUCACAGAAGGGAAGGGGCAGCUCGGAGCAGGUAGGGCUGUGUUCUUGAAGUCUCGGAGCUGCUCUGCCAAUAGUUAACUCUGACUCCCUGAUUUCCAUUUUGUUUUGGCAGCUCCCAGUCACUGUUCCUCUCUCUCUCUCUCUCUCUCUUUUUUCCUGGAAAAUUUCCCUUAAGGAACCACCGGUGAUGACCCAUGAGACAGUGUGUGAAUGCUUUGCAUUGUGCAGUGCUUUGACAUUUGGCAUUCCUAUGGCGUUAUCCCCCAUCAACGCAGAAUAAGUUGUCAGAGCAUGAAAUUGGUAUUUUUACAUAUUCUUAACGUACAGAUGUCAUCUGAAAGCCUCGCACAGGCAUUAUGAUUAAACUCUCUGUUUCAUUCUCUGCCCGUGAACAGAUCCGUUUGGAAGAUCCCUUUCCUUUUGGGGGGGGAGUUAUAGAGAAAAGGCAUAGCCUUAAAAAGUGGCAAUUCUACCCAAUAUUACCAUCGAAAGGUGAAAGCUGAGUUUAAGACGUUGUGCGCUGAGUGCAAUACAGACUCAUAAGUGCAGAGCAGUAGCAUUCAAUUUUUAGCACCUGUGUUCCUGG